rnacentral:pre_miRNA from 1 species
CCUGGUAGUACCAAAGUGCUCACAGUGCAGGUAGUUUUGGCAUCACUCUACUGCACCGUGAGCACUUCUAGUACUCUUGG